GGUGGAUUAGUGGCGAACGGGUGAGUAACACGUUGGCAAUUUGCCCUGCACUCUGGGACAAGCCCUGGAAACGGGGUCUAAUACCGGAUAAUACUGUGCCCCUCAUGGGGGACGGUUGAAAGCUCCGGCGGUGCAGGAUGAGCCCGCGGCCUAUCAGCUUGUUGGUGGGGUAAUGGCCUACCAAGGCGACGACGGGUAGCCGGCCUGAGAGGGCGACCGGCCACACUGGGACUGAGACACGGCCCAGACUCCUACGGGAGGCAGCAGUGGGGAAUAUUGCACAAUGGGCGAAAGCCUGAUGCAGCGACCGCCGCGUGAGGGAUGACGGCCUUCGGGUUGUAAACCUCUUUCAGCCAGGGAAGAAGCGAAAGUGACC
rnacentral:rRNA from 1 species